rnacentral:tRNA from 1 species
AUAAAAGUGCCCGAGCGGGCAACAAAAGGGACUGCCUACCGAGCAGUUGCAGAAGUGCUUCGCGGGUUCGAAUCCCGCCUCUGCUG